CCGGUAGCUCAGUUGGAUAGAGCAAGCGCCUCCUAAGCGCUAGGUCGCAGGUUCGACUCCUGCUCGGGGCGCCA
rnacentral:tRNA from 1 species